UGGGGAUUUUUGCACAAUGGGGGAAACCCUGAUGCAGCGACGCCGCGUGAUGUAGAAGGCCUUCGGGUUGUAAAAAUCUUUUCUAUGGGAAGAAAAUGACAGUACCAUAGGAAUAAGGACCGGCUAAUUACGUGCCAGCAGCCGCGGUAAUACGUAAGGUCCGAGCGUUGUCCGGAAUCAUUGGGCGUAAAGGGUACGUAGGCGGGUAAGCAAGUUAGAAGUGAAAUCCUAUAGCUCAACUAUAGUAAGCUUUUAAAACUGCUCAUCUUGAGGUAUGGAAGGGAAAGUGGAAUUCCUAGUGUAGCGGUGAAAUGCGCAGAUAUUAGGAGGAAUCCCGGUGGCGAAGGCGACUUUCUGGCCAUAACCUGACGCUGAGGUACGAAAGCGUGGGUAGCAAACAGG
rnacentral:rRNA from 1 species